rnacentral:rRNA from 1 species
UACGGAGGGAGCUAGCGUUGUUCGGAAUUACUGGGCGUAAAGCGCGCGUAGGCGGCUUUGUAAGUUAGAGGUGAAAGCCCGGGGCUCAACCCCGGAACUGCCUUUAAAACUGCAUCGCUUGAAUCCGGGAGAGGUGAGUGGAAUUCCGAGUGUAGAGGUGAAAUUCGUAGAUAUCGGGAGGAACACCGGUGGCGAAGGCGGCGACCUGGGUUGACAUUGACGCUGAGGCGCGAAAGCGUGGGGAGCAAACAGG